rnacentral:ncRNA from 1 species
CCCUGAGAGAUGAUCAGGUAGAUAGGCUAGAAGUGGAAGUGCAGCGAUGCACGGAGCGGACUAGUACUAAUCGGUCGAGGACUUAACCAC